AAGGAGAGAGAGGAGAAUGUGGUGUGUUGUGUUGUUGUGUGUGACGCGAGGUGGCAAAAGAAUAGGGAGAGAGAGAGAAUGUGUGUGUGUGUGUGUGUGUGUGUGUGAGCGAGGUGGCAAAGAGUAGGGAGAGGAGAAUGUGUGUGUGUGUGUGUGAGCGAGGUGGCAAAGAUUUUAGAGGCGAGAGAGAAUGUGUGGUGUGUGGUGUGUGAGCGAGGUGGCGAAAGAGUAGAGGGAGAGAGAGAAUUGUGUGUGUGUGUGUGUGUGUGUGUGUGUGUGUGAGCCAGGUGGCAAACGACGAUGGGCAGAGAGAGAGACAUGCUGUGUGUGUCGUGUGUGUGUGUGGUGUGUGUGAGCGAGGUGCAAAAGAAUAGGGAGAGAGAGAGAAUGUGUUGUGGUGUGUGUGUGUGUGUGUGAUGUGUAGCGAGUGGCAAAUGAGAUAGGGAGAGAGAGAGAAUGUGUGUGUGUGUGUGUGUCAGUGUGUGAGCGAGGUGCAAAGAUAGGGGAGAGAGGAGCAAUGUGUGUUGUGGUGUGUGUGUGUGUGUGUGUGAGCGAGGUGGCAAAGAGAGUAGGGAGAGAGAGAGAAUGUGUGUGUGUGUGUGUGUGUGUGUUUGUGUGUAGCUACAGGUGGCAAGGAGUGGGAGAGAGAGAGAAUGUGUGUGUGUGUGUGUGAGCGAGGUGGCAAAGAGAGAGGGAGAGAGAGUGUGUGUGUGUGUGUGAGCGAGGUGGCAAAGAGAGAGAGGGAGAGAGAGAGAAUGUGUGUGUGUGAGCGAGGUGGCAAAGAGAUAGGGAGAGAGAGAGAAUGUGUGUGUGUGUGUGAGUCUGACUGCAUGUUUGUCUGAGAUGUGUGUAUGUUAAUUAUUAGCCCAGGCCAGGCGCAGUGGCUAACGCCUGUAAUCCCAACCCUUUGGGAGGCUGAGGUGGGUGGAUCACCGGAGGUCAGGAGUUUGAGACCAGCCUGGGCAAUAUGGUGAAAACCCUGUCUCUACUGAAAUAUAAAAAAUUAGCCAAAUUAGUCAGGUGUAGUUGUGGGCACCUGUAAUCCCAGCUACUCAGGAGGCUGAGGCACGAGAAUUGCUUGAACCUGAGAGGCAGAGGUUGCAGUGAACCCAGAUAGCACCACUGCAUUCCAGCCUGGGCAACAGAGUGAGAUUCUGUCUCCAAAAAUAAUAAUAAUAAUAAUGAUGAUGAUGAGCGCAGAUUGUGGUCAGUGUAA
rnacentral:lncRNA from 1 species